rnacentral:rRNA from 1 species
UGGGGAAUAUUGCACAAUGGGCGGAAGCCUGAUGCAGCGACGCCGCGUGGGGGAUGAAGGCCUUCGGGUUGUAAACUCCUUUCGACAGGGACGAAGCGUAAGUGACGGUACCUGUAUAAGAAGCACCGGCUAACUACGUGCCAGCAGCCGCGGUAAUACGUAGGGUGCGAGCGUUGUCCGGAAUUACUGGGCGUAAAGAGCUCGUAGGUGGUUUGUCGCGUCGUCUGUGAAAUUCCGGGGCUUAACUCCGGGCGUGCAGGCGAUACGGGCUGACUUGAGUGCUGUAGGGGAGACUGGAAUUCCUGGUGUAGCGGUGAAAUGCGCAGACAUCAGGAAGAAUACCGAUGGCGAAGGCAGGUCUCUGGGCAGUAACUGACGCUGAGGAGCGAAAGCAUGGGUAGCGAACAGGAUUAGAUACCCUGGUAGUCCAUGCCGUAAACGGUGGGCGCUAGGUGUAGGGGGCUUCCACGUCUUCUGUGCCGUAGCUAACGCAUUAAGCGCCCCGCCUGGGGAGUACGGCCGCAAGGCUA